CACAGAAUGGGAUAACUGCCUGGCACUCACCAAGCUACACUUGAAGAGGAUCAAUCCAUGUCAUCAUGUCCCCAAUUUCAUAGCACCAAGUAUUUUGUUUAUUCACAAAUGCCCUAUUAUGGACAUCUAGCAAACAAUGAUACAUCAGAAAAGGAGAUGUGCAUAAAUUUUCAUGGAAUAAGGUUGUGGAAAAUGCACUAGAAUCAACAAACAUGGGGACUAAUUCAACUCGGAUAUCAUGUCUUCAGAGAAGUUUCUCCUGCCCUCCUCUCCCUGUAGAAUUAAGUAUUCUUCCACUGUGCCACCCUCUAACUUGUGCUCAUAUCUUCCUCUAUUGUAGUUAUGUGUUCACAUCCCUGUUGUUUUUGUACCGGCUUCUCCCAAAGGGAGACAUUUAGUCUUAUUCUUCUUGGUAACUUUAGCACAGACCUGGCAGAUUGUUGACACUCAACAAAUGUUUAUUGACUCAAAUGCAUUCAGUUGAACAUUGACCUUUGAUCAACUCUGGGAAAAGUCUGCAAAGCUAGUUAGGACAUUCAGAAAUUCAUUUCAUUUCAAUCCUAACUAAAUAAAUUAUUGAAGUC
rnacentral:lncRNA from 10 species